rnacentral:rRNA from 1 species
CAAGUCGCACGGGAGCAGCAAUGCUCUAGUGGCGCAAGGGUGAGUAAUGUAUCGCUAACGUACCCUGGACACUGGGAUAGCUGCCCGAAAGGGCAGGUAAUACCAGAUGAAAUAUCCUGGCCGCAUGGUUGGGAUCUCAAAGGAGCAAUCCGGUCUGGGCGCGGGCGAUAUCGUAUCAGCUAGUUGGUGAGGUAACGGCUCACCAAGGCGACGACGCGUAGCCGGACUGAGAGGUCGGUCGGCCACAUCGGGACUGAGACACUGCCCGGACUCCUACGGGGGGCUGCAGUAACGAAUCUUCCCCAAUGGGCGCAAGCCUGAGGGAGCGACGCCGCGUGGAGGAUGAAGUCCUUCGGGAUGUAAACUCCUGUCAGGGGUUACCAAGAUACUGAGGAGCCCCAAAGGAAGAGGCGGCUAACUCUGUGCCAGCAGCCGCGGUAAGACAGAGGCCUCGAGCGUUAGGCGGAAUCACUGGGCUUAAAGCGUGUGUAGGCGGAUCGUUAAGUGCCUUGUGAAAUCCCACGGCUUAACUGUGGAACGGCUGGGCAUACUGGCGGUCUUGAGCCAUCUAGGGGCGACUGGAACAAACGGUGGAGCGGUGAAAUGCGUAGAUAUCGUUUGGAACGCCAAUGGUGAAAACAGGUCGCUGGGGAUGAGCUGACGCUGAGACACGAAAGCCAGGGGAGCAAACGGGAUUAGAUACCCCGGUAGUCCUGGCCCUAAACGAUGUCCACUAGAUCACAGGACCUCUGACGGUUUUGUGGUCGAAGCAAAAGUGCUAAGUGGACCGCCUGGGAAA